UGGGGAAUAUUGCACAAUGGGCGCAAGCCUGAUGCAGCCAUGCCGCGUGUAUGAAGAAGGCCUUCGGGUUGUAAAGUACUUUCAGCGGGGAGGAAGGCGAUGUGGUUAAUAACCGCGUCGAUUGACGUUACCCGCAGAAGAAGCACCGGCUAACUCCGUGCCAGCAGCCGCGGUAAUACGGAGGGUGCAAGCGUUAAUCGGAAUUACUGGGCGUAAAGCGCACGCAGGCGGUCUGUCAAGUCGGAUGUGAAAUCCCCGGGCUCAACCUGGGAACUGCAUCCGAAACUGGCAGGCUUGAGUCUCGUAGAGGGGGGUAGAAUUCCAGGUGUAGCGGUGAAAUGCGUAGAGAUCUGGAGGAAUACCGGUGGCGAAGGCGGCCCCCUGGACGAAGACUGACGCUCAGGUGCGAAAGCGUGGGGAGCAAACA
rnacentral:rRNA from 1 species